rnacentral:sRNA from 1 species
GAAAUGCACUCAUCGGGAAGGGUGAGAACCUUCGACUAAGGUUCGAUUCGAGCGAAAGCGAGAGAACGUUGCCACAGGCAACGGCCUGAAGGGUGAGGAGCGAAGCGACGAAUAAUCCUUCCCCACCACCA